rnacentral:rRNA from 1 species
CCUACGGGUGGCAGCAGUGGGGAAUAUUGCGCAAUGGGCGAAAGCCUGACGCAGCGACGCCGCGUGAGGGAUGAAGGUCUUCGGAUUGGAAACCUCUGUUAGCAGGGAAGAACGGUCACUGUGCUAAUCAGCAGUGAAUUGACGGUACCUGCAAGGGAAGCACCGGCUAACUCCGUGCCAGCAGCCGCGGUAAUACGGAGGGUGCGUGCGUUAAUCGGAAUUACUGGGCGUAAAGCGGUCGUAGGCGGUAUGUCAAGUCAAGGGUGAAAUCCCCGCGCUCAACGUGGGAACUGCCUUUGAAACUGGCAGACUAGAGUGUGUGAGCGGAUGGUGGAAUUCCAGGUGUAGGAGUGAAAUCCGUAGAUAUCUGGCGGAACAUCAGUGGCGAAGGCGACUAUCUGGCACAUAACUGACGCUGAGGAGCGAAAGCGUGGGUAGCAAACAGGAUUAGAUACCCGAGUAGUC